rnacentral:rRNA from 1 species
UGGGUAAUAUUGGACAAUGGGCGGAAGCCUGAUCCAGCCAUGCCGCGUGUGUGAAGAAGGCCUUUUGGUUGUAAAGCACUUUAAGCGAGGAGGAGGCUCUUCUAGUUAAUACCUAGGAUGAGUGGACGUUACUCGCAUAAUAAGCACCGGCUAACUCUGUGCCAGCAUCCGCGGUAAUACAGAGGGUUCGUGCGUUAAUCGGAUUUACUGGGCGUAAAGCGUGCGUAGGCGGCUAAUUGAGUCGGAUGUGAAAUCCCCGAGCUUAACUUGGGAAUUGCAUUGGAUACUGGUUAGCUAGAGUGUGGGAGAGGAUAGUAGAAUUCCAGGUGUAGCGGUGAAAUGCGUAGAGAUCUGGAGGAAUACCGAUGGCGAAGGCAGCCAUCUGGCCUAACACUGACGCUGAGGUACGAAAGCAUGGGGAGCAAACAGG